GCACCUGUGGCGGAAUUGGCAGACGCGUAUGGUUCAGGUCCAUAUCUUUUCACGAAGGUGCAGGUUCAAGUCCUGUCAGGUGCA
rnacentral:tRNA from 1 species